ensembl:lncRNA
UGUUGUUGGAAAACAUCUCUCACAUACCAGGACAGCUAAAACGAGCCUAUCUCUGUAAUCCUGUGCCCGCGCGCGUGUGAGUGUAGGACUUGUGCGCGUGUAAUGUGCGCGCAGGUUUGUGCAAGUCCGAGUGCUGAAUUUCAAGUGUUGGGCUUUAUAUCUCAAAAUAACCUAAGCCAGGGAAACUUAAAUGUUUAUCUUUAGGAUAUUCAGUCAGUGUUUACUGAAUGCUUCGUUUGAGAUGCGAAACUGCGCUGGAGAGCUAAACGUGGUGACUAUUUUUGUCUGUAGUGCAGCCCUGAAAUCACACCAUGUAAGUGGGAGACAGAAGGCCAAAUUUGCUCAGCGUUGUGCUUAUUUGGAAGAUUCUGUGAAAAAAAAAAAAAAGAAUAGGGCAAUUAUUUAGCACACUCAGAAAAUUGGUUAUAUUCCUUCCUUAUGCAGUGAUUCCCUGCACAUGCAUUGUGUAUCUAUUUUCUAAUCAUUGCCCUGUGUCAAUUGCAUUUGUGUAUGAAAAGAAAUCAAAAAUCAAAAACAGUACAGGGCAGGAAACACCACAAUUGCUUUCUACUAGUCAAUUAACUUUCUCUGACUAGCCGUAGCCUAUUGACUCUGGUCACACACUACAGCGCCUGAAGUUGACAUUUUGUACCGCUAGGUGGAGCUCCUAGUCUGGGUAGUUGUAUGCACAAUGUGGUUACGAAGCAAAAAAAAAAAAGAAAAAAAAAAGCAACAAGCAGAGGACCAAAAACGACGUCAUUAACCAAAUUCUGUUUUAGAUCCAGCCUGUGGGACUAAGAUGAGCUACCUGCGAUUAACAAAGAAUGUGCAUCAAUAAAAGAGUAAGUAACAGUUUUUAGGUCAGUCCUACACAUAGAUUUUCAAAGACUUAGAAUUAUGAUAUAAAUAUAACCCCCUAAAAGAACACUGAGUUUUCAGGCUACAUGAAAUUCAGUAGAUUUUACUGGAGAAAAAAAAGUUCUUUCAUACCUCUCUUGAACCGAUUUAGUGCUCGACUGUAACGCUACUUACACUUACAAGACACUUCAUUCAGAACACCUUGUUAGUGCUGGUUUACAUCCCCCUUUUGCUUUUAGAACUGACUGAGCCGUUGGUACAAGGCACGAUGGUUUAAUUUCCUGUACACCAAACUGGGACUCGACCAUCUUCUAUAGCCUCGGUUGCCUAAAGCUUCAGUGUGGUACACAGUGUGGUCUUCUGUGCAGGUGUUUAAAGGUCCAGUGUGCUGUGCAUUCAGAAAUGUUCUUUUGAAUACUUUGUAACAAGUGAUUAUUU